GAUGAACGCUGGCGGCGUGCCUAAUACAUGCAAGUAGAACGCUGAAGGAGGAGCUUGCUCUUCUGGAUGAGUUGCGAACGGGUGAGUAACGCGUAGGUAACCUGCCUGGUAGCGGGGGAUAACUAUUGGAAACGAUAGCUAAUACCGCAUGACAACAGUUAUUGCAUGAUAACUGUUUAAAAGGGGCAACUGCUCCACUACCAGAUGGACCUGCGUUGUAUUAGCUAGUUGGUGAGGUAACGGCUCACCAAGGCGACGAUACAUAGCCGACCUGAGAGGGGGAUCGGCCACACUGGGACUGAGACACGGCCCAGACUCCUACGGGAGGCAGCAGUAGGGAAGCUUCGGCAAUGGACGGAAGUCUGACCGAGCAACGCCGCGUGAGUGAAGAAGGUUUUCGGAUCGUAAAGCUCUGUUGUAAGAGAAGAACGAGUGUGAGAGUGGAAAGUUCACACUGUGACGGUAUCUUACCAGAAAGGGACGGCUAACUACGUG
rnacentral:rRNA from 1 species